ensembl:lncRNA
CCACCGCUGCCGCGGGUAAUUAACGAGCCAAGAAGCUCCUAAUUGGGAGCUGCCCAUCAGAACAGCUCUGCCACAGUCGGGCAGGGUUUGCUGCUCCUGCCCCAGACCGAAUCCCCGCUGUCGGAGCUCUGCCCUGUCCUGCUCUGCCGCUGUCAACUCUCAUCUUCCGCAUCUGCACCCUUCUGCUGUUCUUUUUCCCGUAUCUUCUCUCCUCCUUCUUCUUACUGCACUCCUCUUCUCUUCUGAUCUUUCUUCCUUGUGCCCUCACACCUCUUCUUCAUCUACACUCCUCUUCUGUUCUUCCUUUAUUCUUCACCUGUUCUCUGGCACUGUUCUUCUUUUCACAGCACUGUCCGCUCUUCUCUACUGCUCUGUUCUUUCUCUGCUCUUCCUCUCUUCUCUCUUGCCUCUUUCCUCUCUUUCCACCUCCUGUACUUUUGCUCUACUUUUCAUACUUCUCCUCUUCAGCUCCUCUCCACUUCUGCUGUUUGGUCUUACCUGCACCCACUCAUCCCUUCUUCAGCUCUUCUCCCUGCCCGCUUGUUUUUCUUACCUUCAUCCUCAUUUUUUCUUCUCCUCCUCUUCUGCUCUUCUUUCUUACCUGUGCCUGUUCUUCUCUGCUUUUGCUCUUGUCCUUCUUGGAGUCUGUCUUACCUUUAUUCUCUCUUCUCCGCAAGACGGGAAGUUUUUGGAGUGGGUCCAGAGGAGGGCCACUAAGAUGGUCAGAGGGCUGGAGCACCUCUCGUAUGAGGAAAGGUGGAGGGAACUGGGAUCGUUUAGCUUGGCGAAGAGAAGGCUCCAUGGAGACCUCCUGGUGGCCUUCCAGUACUUAAAGGGAGCAUCUAAGCAGGAGGGGGAAUGGCCCAAGGAGGCUGUGGAUGCUGCAUCCCUGGAGGCAUUCAAGGCCAGGCUGGAGUUGGCACGGGGCAUUUUGGUCUAGUGGCUGGCAAUACUGCACAUAGCGGGGAGGGGGGUGGGAGGUGAAACUUGAUGGUCACUGUGGUUAUUCUACGAUUCUACGCAUUUCUACGAUUCAAUGAUUCUGUGAUUCUUUAUAGGACGCAGUAUUCCACUUGGAAAGGGCCUCCCAAGGAUCCCUGGUAUCCUCUGAGAGCUCUGAGCUGCCACACCAAUUUGAAGCUGACUUCAUUUUUGGUCUUCCCCUUCAGCAGAAAAGCUCAGACAGCCGAGCCAAGCGAGACGCUGGAUUUCCUUUGGCAUCAAGGAAAGCAUCGUGAGAUGUUCUGAUGCCCUCUCACAAUUCUUUCUCCCUCCACCAGCACCAGAGCUGGCGUCCAAAGACGCAAUGACACUGCCACAGGCAUUGUGGAGAUUUCUAUGGGAUAGGCCCACGGUAAGGCUUUAUUGACAGAGGGAGGGACAAUGAAGAUUGGAUGUCAGGGAGAAGGUCUUUCCAGAGACGGUGGUGAGAUGCUGGAAGCGGAUGCCCAGAGAGCUUGUGGACGCCGCGUCCGUGGCAGUGUUGAAGGCCAGGUUGGAUUGGGCACUCGGCAGCCUAGUCUAGGAUUAGAUAUGAUGCAGAUGGGAUUCACGCAUCUGUUUUGCAGCCAGCUCGAGUGGAGGUCUUGGAGCUCGUGGGCGCCCCAUGCCUGCAUCAGCGUGGGUAGGGUGUGCCCUUCCUGCGCGGUGGGGCUUUGGUGUCCGGGGGCUGACGCUGAGGAGACUGUGUUUCUUCGUUUAUCGGUGGCAGAAAUCCAGCUCUGUCAGCAGAGGACUCCUGCGGCUGGCUGGCCUCAGCCUGAGAUGUUGAUGCUUCCAUCUCCUCAGGUUCUUUCUGCCUGCUCUUCUUAGCCCUGCGCCUGAGAAGUCUGACUGAGUCACAUGCCAGAAGUGGAAGCCGGGAUGGAGUGCCUUGCGAUGCCUGUGACGGGCUGGACUGAGCCCUUGAGGAAGGUCUGGAAUUGUUGCUGAAAGAUUCGUUGGCUUUGGGCAACUUCAGCACCGCAGCCACACGAUGGGCUUUUUCCGCUUCCCGUUCUUCCUCACGGAAGCUCACGUGUUUGGUUCCCGGGGCUCGGCCCAGGUCUUCUUGGCUGUCUGUUUCUGCCUGGCCCUGCAGCUGGCAGGUCAGCGGCUGCUUUUGGUCUUCAGGCACUCCAGGGAUGGCUGGCAGCAGACUGAAAGGACAGAGCAGGAGGGGUCCGCCUGAGUGGGUGAUGGUUUUGGGGCCGCGUCCUGCAAGCCGGAGCCAGGACCCUUGGCUGCAAUGCAGCCUUCCCCACAGACAGCUCAGCGGCUGCCCCGUGGCUCUCCCCCGUGGGAUCCAGAGAGGGGCCAGCCCUGUGAGCUGGGGGGCUCCUGGCGUCCCCAUCCCAGCACUGUUGGGCA